UACGGGGGGAGCAAGCGUUGUUCGGAUUUACUGGGCGUAAAGGGCGCGUAGGCGGCCACCGCAAGUCGACUGUGAAAUCUCCGGGCUUAACCCGGAAAGGUCAGCCGAUACUGCGGGGCUAGAGUGCAGAAGGGGCAACUGGAAUUCCUGGUGUAGCGGUGGAAUGCGCAGAUAUCAGGAGGAACACCGAUGGCGAAGGCAGAUCUCUGGGCCGUAACUGACGCUGAGGAGCGAAAGCGUGGGGAGCGAACAGG
rnacentral:rRNA from 1 species